ACCAGAGGUUGGGUCCACUAUCGUGCAUUGCAUGCAUUUAUUUACUGAAUCACUGGGUCUCCUCUGUACCAGAGGUUGGGUCCACUGGUUUUAUACUGUUGAUUAGCGGCAUUUACUCUGCCAGGUCUCCAUGGCCUACUGGGUCACCUCUGUAUCAGAGGUUGGGUCCACUUGCUUUGAAUUGUUGGAUAGCGGCAGUUACACUGCUGGGUCUCCAUGUGUCAUUUACGUUUUUAUGCAUUUCAUUUUCCUAGUCAUUGGGUCCCCUCUGUAUCAGGGGUAGGGCCCACUGGCUUUUUCCUAUUGGAUAGCGGCAGCUGGCCUGCUGGGUCUCCAUAACUUUGUGUAACUGCAUGUAGUGUCUUUACAGUGUCACUGGAUCCCCUCUGAAUCAGAGGCUGGUCCCACUGACUUUGUACUCUCCCCGCAGAGUUGAGUGGCAAGUUCUACUCCUGACACUCGUGGUGUGUGGGUAUUGUCAACUCAUGAGUGUGUUGGUUUGUCGUCGGGGCGACGACAGAAAAGGUGGGGACAGAAUGUAACAGAUUGAACUCCACCUCUCAAUUCGACCUGUGAUUCUGUCUGUAAUCCAUGAUUGGCUGGCCUAUUACUGCUGGACCUUUAAUUUGAUAUAUAAGUAGACACUGAGUGAGGCACCGCCCCUCUUCCUCCUGCUGUGGUGCUGUGGCCAAGCACCUGUGUGGUCGCUGCACCAGGGCUCCAGUUGGCUUGGGGCUCAGUUUGUUAGGGCCCUGCAACCUGAGCCCACUCCGUUGCCGAUGGCUCGCUCCGUGGUUGAUGCUGAUUGUUGCACCCCAUUGUCCUGUUGAGUGGUGAAGACUGGGGUUAGCUGAGAUGGGUGACUUAUCACUGAAGUCUGCUGAAGUGCUUAAUCUGAGUGGCCAUGUCGAGCGUUGAGCUUGUUACUUAUUGAUCAUCCCUUCAUCUCCCGCAGUGGAGUGAUUAGUGCACCCACAUCCUCUCGCCGCUGGAGAGUUGCUGCUCUGUUGCUGCUGGUCCUGUGUCGGUUCAUGCUCAGUGUUGUGUUUGUUAUUUUGAGUUUUGUUUAUCUACCUCCCCUGAGCCGCCAUCUUGAGUAAGACUGUGGAGAAGGCUUGUAGUGUGGUCCAGUAGGGUAGACUCUAGUGGUAAUCCACUGUAUGUUUUCUGUGAAUCUGUGGUUGUUUUUGUUUUUUUAUUUUUACUAUGUGUUUGGUGGCUGACACCAGCUGUGAGAUUGUCACCUUGUGUGUAUGUAUGAGUGUGUGGAAGUGAUCCAUUCAGGUGUGGCACUUGAGGCGGCUGCCCUCCCUUCUCUGUAUAAUGUGGCUGGUCAUCUCUCUCUACUAGCUAUCAUAAGAUAAGUACCAUCCAGUUCUUUCUUAUUGAUAAUCAAAUACCAACAUUUGGAAUUGUAUUACUCUGUAUUCAGUAUCUCCUCUCUCUUUGGGCAGGUAUGAGGUGCAUCCCAUAGCAAGCCAGUCUUCGGGUGGUGGACCUUCUCACACUUCCAUUGCUGUGUACACGUUUGGUGAUUAUUAUUUUGCAGUGUUACUUUGAAUUUUGUGGAUUUUGUUUAAUUAAUUUGUGGUGUUUUCCUGAUCUUUCCUGUCUCUUCCCGUGCUGCUAGUGGAGAGCCUCUCCAGCCUGACCCACUAGUUGAUCAUUCUCACUUUAAGCCACAUAGCAGGUUAUUGUGCAGUCCACCUCCUUGUGCGCCAUUUGUGCCUCAGCUUGGCCGUCCAGUCUGACGGACCAUGAAGUGUGUGUGUGUGUGUGUGCGCGUGCACACCUAUGAUAUGAGUUGUAUGUGACACCAUGUGAUGUGAUGUUUUGAUCUGGAAAUAUGACUUAUGUUCCAUGUGGUUUAAUGUGAUGGACAAUUACUGAAUGCAGUGUUCAAACUGUUAAACUCCUUGCAGCCUUCUGGGCUACUACAGAAGUAACAUGCCAUACACCUGUGAAUAAAUGACAACCCAUGUGAACAUA